AAAACGGCUCCAUCCCCACCCCUUGAAAUUAGCCAUUUAUCUGCUACAGCCAGGAGAUAUUUGGGUGUCUCCUUGGCCUUUUCCAGUUGCUGGGGUCCUCAACACUGAGCCAUCUGAGUACUGCAGAUGU